rnacentral:rRNA from 1 species
UACGUAGGCAGCGAGCGUUGUUCGGAAUUACUGGGCGUAAAGAGUGUGUAGGCGGUGCUCCCAGUCUGUUGUGAAAUCUCCCGGCUUAACUGGGAGGGUGCAGCGGAAGCUAGAGUGCUAGAGGGUGGGAGAGGUAAGCGGAAUUCCUGGUGUAGCGGUGAAAUGCGUAGAUAUCAGGAGGAACACCUGUGGUGUAGACAGCUUACUGGACCACUUCUGACGCUGAGACACGAAAGCGUGGGUAGCAAACAGG